CGAUGAACGCGCCGCGCGCCUAGAAUCUCGGUCGCGCUCAGCCAUUUGCUUCGUGAGGACCUACGUGCGACAACGUGACAGCGUUCCUGAGGCAGCUCGUGCACUUCGGGUCUCGUCACGCUGCUCUUGGUUAACCGUCAAGUUCACCGGAACAAACCACCUCGGUGACAGUCCUCUGGGAAGCCUAAUCUGUGCGCCACGAAGUGCGUCUGUUUCGCAGCCGAGGAUCCACAUCAGCGCACCAGCUGGGGCGAGACGGGCGGACUGACAGUGCUUACUUGGCCGGUGGUGACUCUGGAAUGGCAGCGACCCACGGAAAGGUAGCAACCUCUCGAUUGGCUGCUGCUCCGGGAGUGGACGCGGUAGCCCCCGAAUUAGUUGCAGGGCCUGGUCCUCACUGGGCUGCACACCCGGGAUUGGCUGUGGUCUUGGCACUGUCUGGGACCUUGAGACUGGCAGGAACCUCUGGACAGACAGCGACCCCUUGAGAGCGAGCCACCCCCUGACGGAUGAGGCUCUGGUACGGCGGAGGUCAGAAAACUGGCGUCGACACCAAAGGGGCCAAUGGCGCCUCCUGGAGCAGCUGUUUGUUGUUGAAGGCAAGUAGCUUGCCUUGGCUAGGACGUCAGCGUCAGUGGGGGUUGAGUCUGCUUCGUGAUGACGCACGAUGUUGACACCUGGGCCCACAACUGCCGUGGUGGUUCUGUGCGUGGUGUGAGUAGCAUCGACCUAAUAUGUCUCAGCUCUACUUGCUCCACCUCUGCGCGCUCGCCGUUCUCAACCCCUGCCACAGCCAAGACCUGACAGUAGCCGACACCUUCGAGCUGACACCUUCGAGCCGACACGUCCUCUCGCAAUCCGAAAGCCUGCAACCCCGAGGAGGCCCUGCACUACCAGCCUCACCGCCAACCCUGUACAACCAACGAGUCAACCUCGAGAGAGAGAGACAUCU